rnacentral:tRNA from 1 species
GCCGCUAUCGCUCAAUGGCAGAGCGCCUGUGUGUGGAGCAGGAGACGAUCGGUUCGAUUCCGACUGGCGGUGCCA